GGUCAUUGUGGUCCUUUUCAACCCAGGCCAUUCUAUGAUUCUAUGCCUUUAUCAGAAAAUAUUUAAUAAAUGAUAUUCCUAAUUGCCACAUCAGUGUUUCAAGAGUCCAGCUCUGAAAUGUAGGUUAGACUAAUUUUUAUAUGAUUUUCCCCAUGGAACACACCUUUCUGAACUUUGUGAUACUUCUUGCAACCUUAUGUUAAGACCGUUUGUGUUUGGAGAACACUGUGCAUCAUUCAGAGGUAAUCUACACAGUCUGAAAAACCCUUUGCAGCUCAUAUUGGAGUAAUAACCAUGAAAAAUGGGAUUUCCUGGGAAUUCAUUACCAGUUAGGAUCCCCUCAGUAAGAUGCAAAGCUUCAUUUUGCUGUGACCAUCAGACCUGAGAAGCAGCUCGGCUCAUCUUAAAAUUAGGCUGCAGGUGGAGAGGGGAGUGCUUUUUCGUUGGAUUGAUCCCACACUUAAUAUGUGACAUAGCUUUAGUCACCAGUACUUCUG
ensembl:lncRNA